ensembl:lncRNA
CUCCGUCUGCCCGCUUUUUUCCCUCCUCCCCACGCUGUGGGAGCCGCCGGAGCCUUUCUCCUUCAAAGUGCUCCCGAACAGCGCUACGGAAGUGUGAUGCUGUUGAUAGAGAUCUGCUGCUUACCACCGGCUUUGUACCUUGAGUGUCCUCAGAUUGUCUCAUUUUGGCCAUAAGAGACAUCUGCGCUGCACCGCCCUCCCCUGUCAGGGCAAGUCUCGCUGUGUCUCUGACGCCCAUGAAGUCCCAGGGCUGCGCUCAUCCUGACGCGUUACAUCACAGCCAGCAGGGAAGCGCUCAGCAUCGCUCCUCCCUCCUUGCACAGAACCUCAGUGCGGUGGUCUGCGGAGAGCGCUGACGGAGGGCUUUCUGUGCCGGCGCUGGAAGGUGUAGCAAGCGGAAAGGAGCGCACUAAGAGGAGCUCACGGGAAAACCCACGAGCCUUGCACUUUGUCAUUUACACGCGGUCCUGUUAUGCAACCGGCUGGUGACGCGGGUGGAGCUCUGGGUUUGGGAGGUGGUAGCAGGGAAAGCCCGGUCCCACGGCUGCCCCGCUCCCUUCACCGUUACAGGGACAGCGUUCCACGGGGCUGAGGUGGGCGCUAAGCGCCAUUUCCCUCGUCUGAAAUACCUUCGUGCAGAACGAAAUAGCCCGGAGGUGGACGGGGCACGGACAGCACAAAGCAGAGCAGCGAAGCCGUGGGGUGGUGGGAUAAGGGCAGCUCCCAGCACAGCCCCAGCCUCGGCUCUCCAUGAGCACUGCUGCUGUGCCAAUGGUUUUGACUUGACUUCGGCGUUAGCUCAGAUGUAUCCCAGCGAGGCUUCUCCCUCCCAAA